rnacentral:rRNA from 1 species
GGGGGAAACCCUGACGCAGCGACGCCGCGUGCGGGAUGAAGGCCUUCGGGUUGUAAACCGCUUUCACCAGGGACGAAGCGAGAGUGACGGUACCUGGGGAAGAAGCGCCGGCUAACUACGUGCCAGCAGCCGCGGUAAUACGUAGGGCGCGAGCGUUGUCCGGAAUUAUUGGGCGUAAAGAGCUCGUAGGCGGCCGGUUGCGUCUGCUGUGAAAUCCCGGGGCUUAACCCCGGGCGUGCAGUGGAUACGGGCCGGCUGGAGGCAGGCAGGGGAGAAUGGAAUUCCCGGUGUAGCGGUGAAAUGCGCAGAUAUCGGGAGGAACACCGGUGGCGAAGGCGGUUCUCUGGGCCUGUACUGACGCUGAGGAGCGAAAGCGUGGGGAGCGAACAGGAUUAGAUACCCUGGUAGUCCACGCCGUAAACGUUGGGCGCUAGGUGUGGGUCCCUUCCACGGGGUCUGUGCCGCAGCUAACGCAUUAAGCGCCCCGCCUGGGGAGUAC